CAGUCGCCACGGGAAUACGUAGGGUGCAAGCGUUAAUCGGAAUUACUGGGCGUAAAGCGUGCGCAGGCGGUUAUAUAAGACAGAUGUGAAAUCCCCGGGCUCAACCUGGGAACUGCAUUUGUGACUGUAUAGCUAGAGUACGGCAGAGGGGGAUGGAAUUCCGCGUGUAGCAGUGAAAUGCGUAGAUAUGCGGAGGAACACCGAUGGCGAAGGCAAUCCCCUGGGCCUGUACUGACGCUCAUGCACGAAAGCGUGGGGAGCAAACAGGAUUAGAGACCCCCGUAGUCCCUGUCUCUUAUAC
rnacentral:rRNA from 1 species